GGUUAAGCGACUAAGCGUACACGGUGGAUGCCCUGGCAGUCAGAGGCGAUGAAGGACGUGCUAAUCUGCGAUAAGCGUCGGUAAGGUGAUAUGAACCGUUAUAACCGGCGAUUUCCGAAUGGGGAAACCCAGUGUGAUUCGUCACACUAUCAUUAACUGAAUCCAUAGGUUAAUGAGGCGAACCGGGGGAACUGAAACAUCUAAGUACCCCGAGGAAAAGAAAUCAACCGAGAUUCCCCCAGUAGCGGCGAGCGAACGGGGAGCAGCCCAGAGCCUGAAUCAGUGUGUGUGUUAGUGGAAGCGUCUGGAAAGGCGUGCGAUACAGGGUGACAGCCCCGUACACAAAAAUGCACAUAUUGUGAGCUCGAUGAGUAGGGCGGGACACGUGGUAUCCUGUCUGAAUAUGGGGGGACCAUCCUCCAAGGCUAAAUACUCCUGACUGACCGAUAGUGAACCAGUACCGUGAGGGAAAGGCGAAAAGAACCCCGGCGAGGGGAGUGAAAAAGAACCUGAAACCGUGUACGUACAAGCAGUGGGAGCACGCUUAGGCGUGUGACUGCGUACCUUUUGUAUAAUGGGUCAGCGACUUAUAUUCUGUAGCAAGGUUAACCGAAUAGGGGAGCCGAAGGGAAACCGAGUCUUAACUGGGCGUUAAGUUGCAGGGUAUAGACCCGAAACCCGGUGAUCUAGCCAUGGGCAGGUUGAAGGUUGGGUAACACUAACUGGAGGACCGAACCGACUAAUGUUGAAAAAUUAGCGGAUGACUUGUGGCUGGGGGUGAAAGGCCAAUCAAACCGGGAGAUAGCUGGUUCUCCCCGAAAGCUAUUUAGGUAGCGCCUCGUGAAUUCAUCUCCGGGGGUAGAGCACUGUUUCGGCAAGGGGGUCAUCCCGACUUACCAACCCGAUGCAAACUGCGAAUACCGGAGAAUGUUAUCACGGGAGACACACGGCGGGUGCUAACGUCCGUCGUGAAGAGGGAAACAACCCAGACCGCCAGCUAAGGUCCCAAAGUCAUGGUUAAGUGGGAAACGAUGUGGGAAGGCCCAGACAGCCAGGAUGUUGGCUUAGAAGCAGCCAUCAUUUAAAGAAAGCGUAAUAGCUCACUGGUCGAGUCGGCCUGCGCGGAAGAUGUAACGGGGCUAAACCAUGCACCGAAGCUGCGGCAGCGACGCUUAUGCGUUGUUGGGUAGGGGAGCGUUCUGUAAGCCUGUGAAGGUGUGCUGUGAGGUAUGCUGGAGGUAUCAGAAGUGCGAAUGCUGACAUAAGUAACGAUAAAGCGGGUGAAAAGCCCGCUCGCCGGAAGACCAAGGGUUCCUGUCCAACGUUAAUCGGGGCAGGGUGAGUCGACCCCUAAGGCGAGGCCGAAAGGCGUAGUCGAUGGGAAACAGGUUAAUAUUCCUGUACUUGGUGUUACUGCGAAGGGGGGACGGAGAAGGCUAUGUUGGCCGGGCGACGGUUGUCCCGGUUUAAGCGUGUAGGCUGGUUUUCCAGGCAAAUCCGGAAAAUCAAGGCUGAGGCGUGAUGACGAGGCACUACGGUGCUGAAGCAACAAAUGCCCUGCUUCCAGGAAAAGCCUCUAAGCAUCAGGUAACAUCAAAUCGUACCCCAAACCGACACAGGUGGUCAGGUAGAGAAUACCAAGGCGCUUGAGAGAACUCGGGUGAAGGAACUAGGCAAAAUGGUGCCGUAACUUCGGGAGAAGGCACGCUGAUAUGUAGGUGAAGUCCCUUGCGGAUGGAGCUGAAAUCAGUCGAAGAUACCAGCUGGCUGCAACUGUUUAUUAAAAACACAGCACUGUGCAAACACGAAAGUGGACGUAUACGGUGUGACGCCUGCCCGGUGCCGGAAGGUUAAUUGAUGGGGUCAGCGCAAGCGAAGCUCUUGAUCGAAGCCCCGGUAAACGGCGGCCGUAACUAUAACGGUCCUAAGGUAGCGAAAUUCCUUGUCGGGUAAGUUCCGACCUGCACGAAUGGCGUAAUGAUGGCCAGGCUGUCUCCACCCGAGACUCAGUGAAAUUGAACUCGCUGUGAAGAUGCAGUGUACCCGCGGCAAGACGGAAAGACCCCGUGAACCUUUACUAUAGCUUGACACUGAACAUUGAGCCUUGAUGUGUAGGAUAGGUGGGAGGCUUUGAAGUGUGGACGCCAGUCUGCAUGGAGCCGACCUUGAAAUACCACCCUUUAAUGUUUGAUGUUCUAACGUGGACCCGUGAUCCGGGUUGCGGACAGUGUCUGGUGGGUAGUUUGACUGGGGCGGUCUCCUCCUAAAGAGUAACGGAGGAGCACGAAGGUUGGCUAAUCCUGGUCGGACAUCAGGAGGUUAGUGCAAUGGCAUAAGCCAGCUUGACUGCGAGCGUGACGGCGCGAGCAGGUGCGAAAGCAGGUCAUAGUGAUCCGGUGGUUCUGAAUGGAAGGGCCAUCGCUCAACGGAUAAAAGGUACUCCGGGGAUAACAGGCUGAUACCGCCCAAGAGUUCAUAUCGACGGCGGUGUUUGGCACCUCGAUGUCGGCUCAUCACAUCCUGGGGCUGAAGUAGGUCCCAAGGGUAUGGCUGUUCGCCAUUUAAAGUGGUACGCGAGCUGGGUUUAGAACGUCGUGAGACAGUUCGGUCCCUAUCUGCCGUGGGCGCUGGAGAACUGAGGGGGGCUGCUCCUAGUACGAGAGGACCGGAGUGGACGCAUCACUGGUGUUCGGGUUGUCAUGCCAAUGGCACUGCCCGGUAGCUAAAUGCGGAAGAGAUAAGUGCUGAAAGCAUCUAAGCACGAAACUUGCCCCGAGAUGAGUUCUCCCUGAUCCUUUAAGGGUCCUGAAGGAACGUUGAAGACGACGACGUUGAUAGGCCGGGUGUGUAAGCGCAGCGAUGCGUUGAGCUAACCGGUACUAAUGAACCGUGAGGCUUAACCUU
rnacentral:rRNA from 1 species